rnacentral:rRNA from 1 species
AUGAACGCUAGCUACAGGCUUAACACAUGCAAGUCGAGGGGCAGCAUGGUCUUAGCUUGCUAAGGCCGAUGGCGACCGGCGCACGGGUGAGUAACACGUAUCCAACCUGCCGUCUACUCUUGGACAGCCUUCUGAAAGGAAGAUUAAUACAAGAUGGCAUCAUGAGUCCGCAUGUUCACAUGAUUAAAGGUAUUCCGGUAGACGAUGGGGAUGCGUUCCAUUAGAUAGUAGGCGGGGUAACGGCCCACCUAGUCUUCGAUGGAUAGGGGUUCUGAGAGGAAGGUCCCCCACAUUGGAACUGAGACACGGUCCAAACUCCUACGGGAGGCAGCAGUGAGGAAUAUUGGUCAAUGGGCGAGAGCCUGAACCAGCCAAGUAGCGUGAAGGAUGACUGCCCUAUGGGUUGUAAACUUCUUUUAUAAAGGAAUAAAGUCGGGUAUGGAUACCCGUUUGCAUGUACUUUAUGAAUAAGGAUAGGCUAACUCCGUGCCAGCAGCCGCGGUAAUACGGAGGAUCCGAGCGUUAUCCGGAUUUAUUGGGUUUAAAGGGAGCGUAGAUGGAUGUUUAAGUCAGUUGUGAAAGUUUGCGGCUCAACCGUAAAAUUGCAGUUGAUACUGGAUAUCUUGAGUGCAGUUGAGGCAGGCGGAAUUCGUGGUGUAGCGGUGAAAUGCUUAGAUAUCACGAAGAACUCCGAUUGCGAAGGCAGCCUGCUAAGCUGCAACUGACAUUGAGGCUCGAAAGUGUGGGUAUCAAACAGGAUUAGAUACCCUGGUAGUCCACACGGUAAACGAUGAAUACUCGCUGUUUGCGAUAUACUGCAAGCGGCCAAGCGAAAGCGUUAAGUAUUCCACCUGGGGAGUACGCCGGCAACGGUGAAACUCAAAGGAAUUGACGGGGGCCCGCACAAGCGGAGGAACAUGUGGUUUAAUUCGAUGAUACGCGAGGAACCUUACCCGGGCUUAAAUUGCAGAUGAAUUACGGUGAAAGCCGUAAGCCGCAAGGCAUCUGUGAAGGUGCUGCAUGGUUGUCGUCAGCUCGUGCCGUGAGGUGUCGGCUUAAGUGCCAUAACGAGCGCAACCCUUGUUGUCAGUUACUAACAGGUUCCGCUGAGGACUCUGACAAGACUACCAUCGUAAGAUGUGAGGAAGGUGGGGAUGACGUCAAAUCAGCACGGCCCUUACGUCCGGGGCUACACACGUGUUACAAUGGGGGGUACAGAGGGCCGCUACCACGCGAGUGGAUGCCAAUCCCCAAAACCUCUCUCAGUUCGGACUGGAGUCUGCAACCCGACUCCACGAAGCUGGAUUCGCUAGUAAUCGCGCAUCAGCCACGGCGCGGUGAAUACGUUCCCGGGCCUUGUACACACCGCCCGUCAAGCCAUGGGAGCCGGGGGUACCUGAAGUGCGUAACCGCGAGGAGCGCCCUAGGGUAAAACUGGUGACUGGGGCU